rnacentral:rRNA from 1 species
UUUAACAACGGAGAGUUUGAUCCUGGCUCAGGAUGAACGCUAGCGGCAGGCUUAACACAUGCAAGUCGAACGGCAGCGGGGGAGGAGCUUGCUCCUCCUGCCGGCGAG